GAUGAACGCUGGCGGCGUGCCUAAUACAUGCAAGUCGAACGCUGAAGGAGGAGCUUGCUCUUCUGGAUGAGUUGCGAACGGGUGAGUAACGCGUUGGUAACCUGCCUGUUAGCGGGGGAUAACUAUUGGAAACGAUAGCUAAUACCGCAUGACAACAGUUAUUGCAUGAUAACUGUUUAAAAGGGGCAACUGCUCCACUACCAGAUGGACCUGCGUUGUAUUAGCUAGUUGGUGAGGUAACGGCUCACCAAGGCGACGAUACAUAGCCGACCUGAGAGGGGGAUCGGCCAAACUGGGACUGAGACACGGCCCAGAAUCCUACGGGAGGCAGCAGUAGGGAAGAUUCGGCAAAGGACGGAAAGCUGACCGAGGAAAGCCGCGUGAGGGAAGAAGGGUUUCGGAUCGUAAAGCUCUGUUGUAAGAGAAGAAAGAGUGUGAGAGUGGAAAGUUCACACUGUGACGGUAUCUUACCAGAAAGGGACGGCUAACUACGUG
rnacentral:rRNA from 1 species